rnacentral:rRNA from 1 species
CCUACGGGGGGCUGCAGUGGGGAAUAUUGGACAAUGGGGGCAACCCUGAUCCAGCCAUGCCGCGUGAGUGAUGAAGGCCCUAGGGUUGUAAAGCUCUUUCGGUGGGGAAGAUAAUGACGGUACCCACAGAAGAAGCCCCGGCUAACUUCGUGCCAGCAGCCGCGGUAAUACGAAGGGGGCUAGCGUUGCUCGGAAUCACUGGGCGUAAAGCGCACGUAGGCGGCUUUCUAAGUCAGGGGUGAAAUCCCGGAGCUCAACUCCGGAACUGCCUUUGA